CGGGGACGCUGUGGCCUUAAGAGGCCGCUGGCAAGUGCAGCCUCGGAGUUUCCAGACCCCAACCCUGGGCCCUCUUCGCAGGGGACAAGUUUACCCGACCCCCAAAGGCAGUCCCCGGAGACUUCAGGCAAAGAUGGGAGGAAACGCUAAUAAACAAUAAGCAUAAGUGCGAUUAAAAAAAAAAACUGAUCUCACGAAUAACCAGAAUCAUGCAAAUUAAGCAGUGACUCCACCUGCCCCUACCCCCAACACUCCCAGAUCGACCCCAGCCAUUGCUGGCUUUGAGCUGGAAUGCGGGAAGACAGGCGUCCACACGCUGCCUGCAACUUAAAUUGCUGCAUGCUUUUUGCAAGAUAAUUUGGCAGAAUCUAUUAACGUUAACAAUGUUCGAACUCCGUGACCCAGCAAUCUCCCCUUCUAGGAAUGCAGCCCUUAGAAAGGAUGUCUCAGUUCUCUCCACUAAUGGACCAAGAGAUCUGUGGAGGGAAAAACAAACAUAACUGGAUACAACCCGAUGCCCCAUCAGGCGGGAGUGGCCAAGGGUAGGGAGGCAUCUGCUUGCUGUGGAAUAUUAUGCAGCUGUUAAGAGGGGGAAGUGGAGGAUGUGGGGUUAAUAUCCAUCAGGGACCC
rnacentral:lncRNA from 10 species